rnacentral:lncRNA from 1 species
AAGAAGACAUGCAGAUGGCCAAUGGGCACAUUAAAAAGAUGCUCAACAUCAUUAAUUAUUAGAGAAAUGCAAAUCAAAUGAGAUAUCACCUCACACUUGUUAGAAUGACUAUUAUCAAAAAGACAAGGAAUAACAAAUGUUGGAGAGGAUGUGGAUAAAAGGGAUCCCUCCUACACUGUUGGUGGGACUGUAAAUUUGCUCAUUCACCAUGGAAAACAGUAUGAUGAUUCCUCAAAAAGUUAGGAAUAAAACUGCCACAUGAUCUAGCUAUUACACUUCUUACUAUCUAUCUGAAGAACACAAAAACACUAAUUCAAAAAAUGCAUAUGCACCCCUUUGUCAAUUGUGGCAUUUAUUGUUUAGAAAAACAUAUAUAUGAGUUCAAAGUUUAAACUCUGGAAAUAAUCUGAUAGGGAAAAGGGGAUUAUGAUAUGGAAGAGUACUUCUGGGACUUUCAACUCUAUUUGUACUCUUGCUUUUUUUGUAAUUAGGAGAUGAGUUCAUGAGUGUUGGCUUGAUUAUUUUUGUACUUUUGCGCAUGACAAAUAUUUCACUAGAAAAUGUUGUUAUGAAAAAGAGUGAAUGGACAAUGUUAACAUCCCUCAAAAUAAAUGUUAGCCAAUGCUAUAUUCUUCUUCAGUGCUUGUUUAAUAAUCUCCCAGAGUAUUAGUAUUUCCUUUUAACAAAUAUGUUCAAACUCAUUGCAAUACCUUAAAAAAAGAGAGAGAAAAAUAAAUGGGGUUAAAUAGUUUUCUCUCUCAACCAUGAGCAAGUCAAAGGAUAUUACAAUUUUAUUCAUUCAGCAUUAUGUGUAUUUUAUAAUACAUAUAUGAGUAUAUGUAAUACAUAUAUGAACAUAUAUAGUACAUGCCUACAUAUAGGUAUAAAACUACAUAGCUCCAGGCAAUUGUGGAAAUAAAAUUCACAUCCAUCUCUUUCCAGGAUAAUGAUGCAUUUAAAGUUCUUACAAGCACAAACAUUUAACAUGUGUGAAUUUUGACAAAUUAAAUUCCCUCCUCUACAACAAUCAUAAACAUACUCCCCCUUAUAUAACAGAGUUAUUCUUUGAGAAAAUUGUAGAUCCAUUGAGCAAUCUAUUAGGAAGAGGCUGACUACAGAGUGGAUUUAGAAUCCAGAAUACUGAGCACAAUUCUAGCCCCACCAUUCCCUGAGGGUGUGAUCCCAGGCAAGUAAUCCCACCUGUAAGUCUAUAAAAUGAGGAUAACAACAGUAUCACCCUUGCUAUAUUAUCAUGAGGCUUAAAGGAGGAUAUACAGGAAAGUGCUUUGUAAAUCUUACACUUGUUGUGCCAAAAAUAGUAACUCAUUUCUAUUGCCAGUUGAAGGCAAGGGAUACUUACCACAUGAAACUUGCCUUAAGGAAAUAAGUGAAGUGCUCUGGUGGAGGAGGCAAGAUUAACGAUUAACACUGGAAGCAAUAGCAUGCAUUUGAAAACAAGAAAGAAGGAAAGAGAGAGAGAGAGAGAGAGAGAGAGAGAGAGAGAGAGAAAGAAAGAGAAAGAAAGAAAGAAAGAAAGAAAGAAAGAAAGAAAGAAAGAAAGAAAGAAAGAAAGAAAGAAAGAAAGAAAGAAAAGAAGGAAAGAAAGAAAGAAAAAGAAAGAAAUGCAGGUUGAAUUAUGCAGUUGAGACUCUCAGGACUGCAGGGGGCUUCAGUGAGGGUCAGGGUCUGGGAUGAUGAAUGGCUUUCUCUAGGCAUGGAAGCAUGGUGUGUAGAUCAGUGGAGGGCGUGGAGAGGGUGUUCUAGGUAAGGAGAAGAGAAUACAGUCUAUUUGCAAAAUAGCAAUGAUAGGCUUAAUUUAUCCAACAUGGUUAGGAUCUUUUCACUGAACUUCCAAUCAUGGUUCUUAUUAAGUGUGGACGGCUUUCUUGCUCCUGUAGGUUAACCUAACUUUAAAGUUAUGUGAAAAAAGGACUUGGGAAACAGCAAGAACUGAUACUUACAACUGCAAUUACAAUGGCAACAACAUUUCACUAGUUCUCAUCCAGGUGCAGGGAUCUGGCCCUUAGCAGCUGUUUUAUUAGGUUCUCAGCAUCUUGUCUAGAGCCUUGUCCGCAGUUAUUUGAUCACCAUGAAAGAUGACUGUGAGAAAUCUCAUCUUUGCUUUGUAAACACCCCAGAAUUUAAAUUUACUGUUUCUAAAUCUAACACACAAAUGGACCACCAAAGGUGGUAUGAUAUUCUUCUUGAAUCAGCAUAGCUUACUAGACCUUGAGACAGGUAUCUUGGCUAAAAUUUCUUCUACUUUAUUUGCUCUCUAUUGUUUUGAACAAUUCUCUUUAAUUGUUUGUUUGGAUCUACACAGAAUGUUAGAUUGAAAUAACUACUAGCGGUGCCCACUGGAUCCCGCUCAAGAGUAAUGUAGACCAAGAAUCCAUACAUAAUAUAAGACCAUGUGGCUAAAAAAUGUUGAGAUUUCAAUAACAUGAAAACUGUUAAUGCUGAGAUUCCUGUUUGUAAGUGAAAUGUGCUGUCAUCGCACCUCUCUCAUUAAACGGUGAUGUGAUACUUGUUUCUACAUAAGCAGUCACUACUUUGUUGAAGAUAAGACAGUAUUGAAAUUUAAGAUAACUAGUGCUUAAAUAAAAUCAAUCCUAUUGAUAGGUUUAGAAACAAAAAGCCUCACAUUUAUAUUACUGCCUUCUUUUUGUCACAGGAGGGGAGGCGGGAGGAGCUAGUGUGUAUGAAGAAGGGAUUGUUUUUUGUGGAGACAAGCCUAGUAUUUCAGGGAAAUAAGAAAGUAAUAACAGAUGUAAAGUUAAGGUGAGAAAUGGCACACACUUCUCCCUCCUUCCUGCUUCCCACUUCAAGUUACAUUCCAUCUGGAAGACUUUAGACCUUUCCCCAACAUUUUAGUUACUGAAAAUUAACCUGGAAAUUUUAGUCUGCUUGCCCUCUGUUCGGGGCACUAAGAAUUAAGCCUUUCUUAGUAAGUUCCUGUGAUUUACUUACAUAGUUAAAACUAACCAUAAUUCAAGCACCUCACAGUACAUUAUAGGUCAAAAUACAUCACCUAAUUCAAAUUUAUACUUAAAAAAAAUGAUGCUGCCCACCUCACCUCACUUCUACCACCCACCCAGCUAGUUUUACUUCCUUCUGCCUUCUCCAGUCCUUCAAGGUUGGAACCAUGAGUUCCCUUGUGGAGCAGUGGUUUAAGGAUCUAGCAUUGUCACUGCAGUGACUUGGGUCUGGUUUGAUCCCUGGAAUUUUCUUAUGAAGUGGACACUG